ensembl:snRNA U6 U6 spliceosomal RNA
AUGCUCACUUUGGCCUACAUAGUCUAAAAUUAGAAUUAUACAGAGUAGAUUAGUGUGGUCCCUGCACAAGGAUGACACUCAUGUGUGUAGUCUUCCAUACUUAA